GAAUAUUGGACAAUGGGGGGAACCCUGAUCCAGCCAUGCCGCGUGUGUGAAGAAGGCCUUUUGGUUGUAAAGCACUUUAAGCGAGGGGGAGGAGCUCUUGGUUAGUACCUAAGAUGCUUGGACGUUACUGGCAGAGUAAGCACCCGCGACCUCUGUGCCAGCAGCCGCGGGAAUACAGAGGGUGCUAGCGUUGAUCGGAUUUACUGGGCGUAAAGCGCGCGUAGGGGGCCAAUUAAGUCAAAUGUGAAAUCCCCGAGCUUAACUUGGGAAUUGCAUUCGAUACUGGUUGGCUAGACUAUGGGAGAGGAUGGUAGAAUUCCAGGUGUAGCGGUGAAAUGCGUAGAGAUCUGGAGGAAUACCGAUGGCGAAGGCAGCCAUCUGGCCUAAUACUGACACUGAGGUGCGAAAGCAUGGGGAGCAAACA
rnacentral:rRNA from 1 species